GGCGCUGUAGUGUAGCGGUUAUCACUCAAGAUUCUGAUACAUACCGUGGGAAAAAGAUUCUUGUAACCCCGGUUCGAUUCCGGGCAGUGCCU
rnacentral:tRNA from 1 species